rfam:Brachypodium distachyon strain Bd21 chromosome 2, whole genome shotgun sequence.
UUUAUACUUCGUCCUCCAACAAAGGAUGUCUCAACUUUGACUAAAUUUGAAUACAUCUAUACACUAAGUCAUGUCUAGAUACAUCCAAAUUUUAACAAACUUGAGACAUCUUUUGUUGGACGGAGGGAGUACAUG